GAGGCAGCAGUGGGGAAUUUUGGACAAUGGGCGCAAGCCUGAUCCAGCAAUGCCGCGUGCAGGAUGAAGGCCUUCGGGUUGUAAACUGCUUUUGUACGGAACGAAAAGGCUCUCUCUAAUACAGAAAGCCGAUGACGGUACCGUAAGAAUAAGCACCGGCUAACUACGUGCCAGCAGCCGCGGGUA
rnacentral:rRNA from 1 species